rnacentral:rRNA from 1 species
CCUACGGGAGGCAGCAGUGGGGAAUUUUGGACAAUGGGGGCAACCCUGAUCCAGCCAUGCCGCGUGAGUGAAGAAGGCCUUCGGGUUGUAAAGCUCUUUCGGCCGGAACGAAAUCGCGCACGUGAAUAACGUGCGUGGAUGACGGUACCGGAGUAAGAAGCACCGGCUAACUACGUGCCAGUAGCCGCGGUAAUACGUAGGGUGCGAGCGUUAAUCGGAAUUACUGGGCGUAAAGCGUGCGCAGGCGGUUCGCUAAGUCAGACGUGAAAGCCCCGGGCUUAACCUGGGAACGGCGUUUGAAACUGGCGGGCUCGAGUACGGCAGAGGGGGGUGGAAUUCCACGUGUAGCAGUGAAAUGCGUAGAUAUGUGGAGGAACACCGAUGGCGAAGGCAGCCCCCUGGGCCGAUACUGACGCUCAUGCACGAAAGCGUGGGGAGCAAACAGGAUUAGAUACCCUGGUAGUCCACGCCCUAAACUAUGUCAACUAGUUGUCGGGGAAGCAAUUCCUUGGUAACGCAGCUAACGCGUGAAGUUGACCGCCGUCGGGAGGUACGGUCGCGAAGAAUUAAAACUAACAAUAGAAGUUAGACGGCGUGAGACGUGCCGAACGGACGACCGACGAGGGAGGAGG